CCUAACCCUAGCCACCUCUCCCUCACGCCUCUCUCCUCUCCCACACGCCCCACCCCCUUUUUCAUCUCUUCUCCCACUUGUUCAUCCAUUCCACUCAAGAUCCUAUCAAUUUUCCAAGAGAUUGUUGAAGAACCAAGGUUUUAAUUGCUUCCUACCGAUUAUUUCGUCCAAGAAAAGGUGAAAUUUCGUGCGAGACGCGUGAUAUCAAAGGAAAAGCGAAACUUGAAAACUAAAGGAUCGAGGUUGAGCGGCGACGAGCGGUUGGCGGUGUUGAG